rnacentral:rRNA from 1 species
UACGUAGGGGGCAAGCGUUGUCCGGAUUUAUUGGGCGUAAAGAGCGUGUAGGCGGCCAGAUAGGUCCGUUGUGAAAACUCGAGGCUCAACCUCGAGACGCCGAUGGAAACCAUUUGGCUAGAGUCCGGAAGAGGAGAGUGGAAUUCCUGGUGUAGCGGUGAAAUGCGCAGAGAUCAGGAGGAACACCCGUAGCGAAGGCGGCACUCUGGGCCGUGACUGACGCUGAGGAGCGAAAGCGUGGGUAGCGAACAGG